rnacentral:rRNA from 1 species
GCCUUAAACCAGAUCACCCAGAAUGUGCCUAGUCUUAUCAGAUCUCAGAAGCUAAGCAGGUAUGGGCCUGGCUGUUGAUUGGAUGGGUGGCCACCACGCAUAACAGGUUGUUGUAUGCU